AUGGAGCGAGCAAUAGUUAUUGUCGUUGCACUUGUAUGUGUUUUGUUCUGUGAACAGCAGAGAGUCUUUGGGGCAGAAGUGAACAUGAGAGUUAAAGCAGGAGACAACAUCACUCUCUACUCUGACUGUGUCAUACCAUUAGGAUCGCACAUUUUUUGGUGGAGAAACUGCUCACAUGAGCAUCAACCAUCUCUGUUAAUAGAGGCUGACAACCUGUUCCAGGGGACAUUUCCACGUUUUAGUUUUGUGCUCAACAGCUCCAGUAACUCCUAUGAUCUACAUAUUACAAACAUCAGCAUCUCUGACGAGGGACUGUAUUAUUGUGCAAUAAAAGAAAGGAAAGUACAUGAUAUACACAACAUCGUAGGAUCUGAGUACCAGUAUGGAAACAGAAAGACUCGUCUUUCUCUCUUGGAGACAGCGUCUCCUCAUGCUGAGAGGUUUAACAGCACCUCCACACCUCCUGUAUCAGACCAUUGCUGGAAUCCACUGUUCAGUGUGUGUCCGGUGUGUGUUCUCCUCUGCUCUGUCUGUGUUUUCUGGCCUCUGUCGGAGGAAAGCUACGGUGAUCAUUCAUUCCUGAACUCAUUUAUGAUGUGCCAGACAGCAGCUUUGAUCAUUCUGAUGUUGCACGAUUUGCUUUACAUUAUAAUCAUAUCAAAUUAACAGAAUAAAAUGUCACAAUUGUAGAGGUUUGUUUACAAUGAAAUACAUUUUAAAAUGUUAUUUAAUCUAAAUUAAGCUAUUUUAAUUAUAGUUGCUGCAGCAACACAGACUGAGAACAGAUAUUAUGAGAUACUGCAUCACAUGCACAUCCUGACAUCCCAGUAUAACAUUUAUUUUUUUCUCAUCAAACAUUCUACAGUUUAUAUUUUGUAUACCGAUAUUAAGUACAAUAACAAAAUACUGUUUUUUCACAGAGUGAAGAUGAAGUGUGCUACGCCUCAUUGAACACACUUUCCAUGCUGAAGAAAAAGACAUUGCAGAAUUCUGAUUUGUGUACUUACACUGAGGUCCAAACCAAAAGAACAUAGAGGAUUCUAGAACUCACUAAGGCUUGAAAUAUUUAACCCUCGGUUGUUCUAAACCCUGGAAAACGCAAUCAUGGCUCCUUGCUUCACAUUUCACACUUUUCAUUAUAAUUAACCUGGGGAUAAUUAAUCCUGGGUAUUCAGAAACAGAAACCCUGGGUUAAUAUUCUUAUUUGCAUAUUUGCAGUGUCAGUGUCAUUGAUUAGACGAAUGCAGCACUUGACCUAACUCUAGCAUUGCGCAUCCUCAAACUUUAUAUUUCAGACUUGCUGUCAAGCAAUGUAAGAAUGAAAUGGGCUCUUCUUUAUUUCUUCCCUGUGUUUUUCCAUUUGAUAUUGAUUUUUCUCUGUUGGGCAGAGAUUUCGGCCACCUGAGCAAAAACACUUUUUUGUUUUUAAAUAAUAUUUUUAUUUUAUUUUAUUUUUAUAAGCAAAAAACAGUAACCUACAUGAGAUAAAAAAACACACAUUUACGCACAGACCAAAAAAACAAACAAAAAACGGACUGCCUAAAUUAACAAAUAUAUAUAACAGUGUUCACAAUUGUUUUAUAAUAGCAAAAACAUUCUUUAAACCAGACCUGUACAGCACACGCACAAAAAAUUGUAACUUUUAACUUCAGUGUGCUAUUUAUAUUUCAUUUGACCCUUGAUGUAACUACACGAUGCACAUUUUAGGUUACCUGAGUUUGGCAAAAAAAAAAAUAAAAAAAAUAAAAAAAAAUUAAAUAACCAGAAUGGAACAUCUUGGCAAAAGAGUGUUAAAUGUGCCUGCAUGCUGCUGAUGCAGUGACUUAAUUAUAUUAGAAUGAUUUCUGAAGGGUUAUGCAACACUGAAGAAUGUACUGUUUUAUAGUAUUUUUUUAAUCAAAUAAAUGCAGCCUCUGUGAAAAAUGAUCAGCCCCAAACGUUUGAAAGGUAGUGUAGCACUGACAAUUCCACAAGACCUUUAUGUCCUCCAUUGAUUCUUCUACAUAUUCUGUGGCAAAAGUAGAUGAGUUAGCAGAUGAUAUUGGAAAUACUACCCAUACCCAUACAAACUUUUACUUAAAUAUUCAAAUUAGUGUCAGGAAAUGAAGCAGGGUCAACUUCAAACAUAUUUACGUAGAUUCAAAGUUAAACCCAUCACGAAUAAAAACCUUGUGUUCAUGCCACUGAUUAAAACAGUCACGCUUGGGUUGAAAGCACAAUGGCACUUCACAAGUCACACACACGACUGGAGUUUUCAGGUGGCAGAGCUUGCACUUGCGCCUACCGAGAGCACUGUCCGGCAUGAAGUGCUUGGGCCUGUGGGUUCCUUCAGGAAGUGAUGAUUCAGGAGAUGGAGGAGCUGAGACAGGAGCAGAAGGAGAAGACGAGUUGAGAGCCGCAGGAUUAGCCGAGGAAACCGAUGCAGCUUCAAACCUGUUCUCGCCAUCCAUUUCUAUAAGCUCUAAAACAGCAUCUCGAGGAAUGUCUUCCGUGUCAGAGCUUUUUGUUUUUCUUUGGCCUACCAGUUUAUGCAAAAUGAAAGCAUUAUCUACGGCAAUGUCCAAAGGUGAUAAAAACACACUGAUACCACUUUUUGGUUAUGUAGACUCUGUAUGUCAGUGAUGUUGUUUUUUUCUUUUGGCCACCAGUUUAUGCAAAAUGAAAGCAUUAUCUACGGCAAUGUCCAAAAGGUGAUAAAAAACACACUGAUACCACUUUUUUGGUUUAUGUAGAACUCUGUAAUGUCCAGUGAUGAAACUGGAUGGCUCCACUGUCCCCCACAAUCCUGGGUGGAAAGAAAAAAAGCCAACAUUUUAAAGUUAAACGUUAACUUUAAACUUAUAAUUUAAUUUUUUUUUAAUAUAGGUUCAAAAAGAACUUAAAAGGAAACAAGAUUCAUAUAGUUUACAAGUCAUUUUUAGGAGGGGGUGAUCCUUUUUCCAACUCAGUGAUUCUGUUUUUUUUUUUUUGUUUGUUUGGUGUUAUACCUUUCACUUGGAUGUUCCAAUCUGCACUAAGUAAAUACAGCUGGAUAAAACUACAUCUUUCAUUUUUAAAACUACAUCUUCAGCAACAUUGGAUUAUUUUGAAGGGGGGUAUUUUCUAUACCAAUACACCAUCCAUCAUCUUCGACCCCCCCCCCCCCAAAAAAAAAACCUCGACUCAAAAUACACUCACUGUUACCUGGAACUGGU
rnacentral:lncRNA from 1 species